UCUCCCCGAAAGCUAUUUAGGUAGCGCCUCGUGAAUUCAUCUCCGGGGGUAGAGCACUGUUUCGGCUAGGGGGCCAUCCCGGCUUACCAACCCGAUGCAAACUGCGAAUACCGGAGAAUGUUAUCACGGGAGACACACGGCGGGUGCUAACGUCCGUCGUGAAGAGGGAAACAACCCAGACCGCCAGCUAAGGUCCCAAAGUCAUGGUUAAGUGGGAAACGAUGUGGGAAGGCCCAGACAGCCAGGAUGUUGGCUUAGAAGCAGCCAUCAUUUAAAGAAAGCGUAAUAGCUCACUGGUCGAGUCGGCCUGCGCGGAAGAUGUAACGGGGCUAAACCAUGCACCGAAGCUGCGGCAGCGACGCUUAUGCGUUGUUGGGUAGGGGAGCGUUCUGUAAGCCUG
rnacentral:rRNA from 1 species